rnacentral:rRNA from 1 species
CCGUAACUAUAACGGUCCUAAGGUAGCGAAAUUCCUUGUCGGGUAAGUUCCGACCUGCACGAAUGGCGUAAUGAUGGCCAGGCUGUCUCCACCCGAGACUCAGUGAAAUUGAACUCGCUGUGAAGAUGCAGUGUACCCGCGGCAAGACGGAAAGACCCCGUGAACCUUUACUAUAGCUUGACACUGAACAUUGAGCCUUGAUGUGUAGGAUAGGUGGGAGGCUUUGAAGCGUGGACGCCAGUCUGCGUGGAGCCAACCUUGAAAUACCACCCUUUAAUGUUUGAUGUUCUAACGUUGGCCCCUUAUCGGGGUUGCGGACAGUGUCUGGUGGGUAGUUUGACUGGGGCGGUCUCCUCCCAAAGCGUAACGGAGGAGCACGAAGGUUAGCUAAUCCUGGUCGGACAUCAGGAGGUUAGUGCAAUGGCAUAAGCUAGCUUGACUGCGAGCGUGACGGCGCGAGCAGGUGCGAAAGCAGGUCAUAGUGAUCCGGUGGUUCUGAAUGGAAGGGCCAUCGCUCAACGGAUAAAAGGUACUCCGGGGAUAACAGGCUGAUACCGCCCAAGAGUUCAUAUCGACGGCGGUGUUUGGCACCUCGAUGUCGGCUCAUCACAUCCUGGGGCUGAAGUAGGUCCCAAGGGUAUGGCUGUUCGCCAUUUAAAGUGGUACGCGAGCUGGGUUUAGAACGUCGUGAGACAGUUCGGUCCCUAUCUGCCGUGGGCGCUGGAGAAUUGAGGGGGGCUGCUCCUAGUACGAGAGGACCGGAGUGGACGCAUCACUGGUGUUCGGGUUGUCAUGCCAAUGGCACUGCCCGGUAGCUAAAUGCGGAAGAGAUAAGUGCUGAAAGCAUCUAAGCACGAAACUUGCCCCGAGAUGAGUUCUCCCUGAGACUUUAAGUCUCCUGAAGGAACGUUGAAGACGACGACGUUGAUAGGUCGGGUGUGUAAGCGCAGCGAUGCGUUGAGCUAACCGAUACUAAUGAACCGUGAGGCUUAACCUU